CUUGACUUGUAUAUGAAAUAAUUGUUGUCUGGUGAGAGAAGCUUAUUGCUGUUGUUUCACUGUCCGUGCAAGUCUUGAAAACUAGUUGCUUUUCCUCAAGCAGCAACUGAGCAAAAAGCAUGAAAUGUUGGUUAAGGCGGAUCGAAAGAAUGCAAUAAGUGGAUAGCACAAGGAACAACUAUUAACAAGUCAAGGGCUUUUCUUUUCUGUUGAAGUGUGGUGUGCUUGAAUAAAAUUGACCUAUAUGCUUACAGGAGUUUGUAUUGUUCUUAUGUUGCAUAGUGUGUUUGCUAAAUAAAGUUGUCCUGCAUUUAUACAACAGGAGAUGUAUGCAUGGAUUUUAGGUUACAAUAAGGGUGUUUCAUAAAUAAAUUGGACCUAUCUACCGGAGGUUUGCAUGGUUUUUUUUUUAAGUUAUAGAAGGGUGUAAUAUGAAUA